CCUACGGGAGGCAGCAGUGGGGAAUAUUGGACAAUGGGCGAAAGCCUGAUCCAGCCAUGCCGCGUGUGUGAAGAAGGCCUUCGGGUUGUAAAGCACUUUCAGUGGGGAAGAAAGCCUUGGGGCUAAUACCCUCGAGGAAGGACAUCACCCACAGAAGAAGCACCGGCUAACUCCGUGCCAGCAGCCGCGGUAAUACGGAGGGUGCGAGCGUUAAUCGGAAUUACUGGGCGUAAAGCGCGCGUAGGCGGUCUGAUAAGCCGGUUGUGAAAGCCCCGGGCUCAACCUGGGAACGGCAUCCGGAACUGUCAGGCUAGAGUGCAGGAGAGGAAGGUAGAAUUCCCGGUGUAGCGGUGAAAUGCGUAGAGAUCGGGAGGAAUACCAGUGGCGAAGGCGGCCUUCUGGACUGACACUGACGCUGAGGUGCGAAAGCGUGGGUAGCAAACAGGAUUAGAUACCCUAGUAGUU
rnacentral:rRNA from 1 species